GAUGAACGCUGGCGGCGUGCCUAAUACAUGCAAGUCGAGCGAACAGACGAGGAGCUUUCUCCUCUGACGUUAGCGGCGGACGGGUGAGUAACACGUGGAUAACCUACCUAUAAGACUGGGAUAACUUCGGGAAACCGGAGCUAAUACCGGAUAAUAUAUUGAACCGCAUGGUUCAAUAGUGAAAGACGGUUUUGCUGUCACUUAUAGAUGGAUCCGCGCCGCAUUAGCUAGUUGGUAAGGUAACGGCUUAACAAGGCGACGAUGCGUAGCCGACCUGAGAGGGUGAUCGGCCACACUGGAACUGAGACACGGUCCAGACUCCUACGGGAGGCAGCAGUAGGGAAUCUUCCGAAAUGGGCGAAAGCCUGACGGAGCAACGCCGCGUGAGUGAUGAAGGUCUUCGGAUCGUAAAACUCUGUUAUUAAGGAAGAACACAUGUGUAAGUAACUAUGCACGUCUUGACGGUACCUAAUCAGAAAGCCACGGCUAACUACGUG
rnacentral:rRNA from 1 species